UGGCGUGUCGAUAUUGAAGCACAAAUACUCAGCAGAAAUCUCAGUCGGGAAGAGGUUGAUCAGACCCCGCUUGGAUGUUUUAUCAUUCCCAAGUGAUUAUAUGUUUGAGCGUUUCUGUUUUUCUGCACAAUCGAUCGUUCAUCUGAACAAUAUUCUCAGCCCUCAUAUCGUUCAUAUGACUCAUCGUGGACAUGCUCUCAGUUCGGAACAAAUUCUUUGUGUUGCACUUCGCCAAAGUGAGUUUUCCAUAUAACAUCGGUGACGCUGAGCAUAUUUCCAAGGCAACCGUCUGUCAGGUUGUCAGAAAUGUGACUCUUGCACUGAAACGUUUACUGUAUACUUUUGUGGUGUUCCCAAGUCACAGACCCACAAGACUCAUCAAGGAAGACUUCCACAGAAUUGCAGAUCAUAUGUGAUGCAGCCCACAUCAUCUGCGACUGAGAAGCAAAGUGGCCUGGAUCUGUGCAUGACUCGCACAUUUUUCGUGAGUGUACACUGAGCACUAGAUUUGCCCCUGGUGAGUUCGAUGGUUACCUGCUCGGUGACAGAGGGUACCCCUGCCAACCCUAUUUGCUGACCCCUUACCCUGAUCCUGUGCCCAGCCCGCAGCAACAUUAUAACUUGGCUCACUGCAGGACACGAGCCAGGGUAGAGAUGACCAUUGGGAUGCUCAAGGCCCGGUUCCAGUGCCUUCGAAGGCUCAGGGUCACCCCAGAAAGGGCAUGUGACAUUAUUGUGGCAUGUGUGAUUCUCUACAACAUUGCAACAAUUAGAGGAGAACAAUUGUCACCCCCCUGACCUUAGAGAUCCUUUUUAUUUUUAUUUAUCCAUGUUUUUUCCUCCAGCAUCUUCACAUGGUCCUG